rnacentral:rRNA from 1 species
AAUCAACGCUGGCGGCGUGCCUCAGACAUGCAAGUCGAACGAUUAAGACUUCCUACGGGAAGUGCAUAAAGUGGCGCACGGGUGAGUAACACGUAAGUAAUCUACCCUCGAGUGGGGAAUAACAUCGGGAAACCGAUGCUAAUACCGCAUAAUGCAGCGGCACCGCAAGGUGACAGUUGUUAAAGGAGCAAUUCGCUUGAGGAGGAGCUUGCGGCAGAUUAGCUUGUUGGUAAGGUAACGGCUUACCAAGGCUACGAUCUGUAUCCGGUCUAAGAGGACGGUCGGACACACUGACACUGAAUAACGGGUCAGACUCCUACGGGAGGCAGCAGUCGGGAAUUUUGGGCAAUGGGCGAAAGCCUGACCCAGCAACGCCGCGUGAAGGAUGAAGUAUUUCGGUAUGUAAACUUCGAAAGAAUGGGAAGAAUAAAUGACGGUACCAUUUAUAAGCUCCGGCUAACUACGUGCCAGCCGCCGCAGUAACAC